rnacentral:rRNA from 1 species
UACGUAGGAUCCAAGCGUUGUCCGGAUUUACUGGGUGUAAAGGGUGCGCAGGCGGACUGGUAAGUCAGGAGUGAAAUCUCGGCGCUUAACGCCGAAACGUCUUUGAUACUGUCAGUCUUGAAUUAGCGAGAGAUUCGUGGAAUUCCGAGUGUAGCAGUGAAAUGUGUAGAUAUUCGGAAGAACACCAGUGCGAAGGCGACUGACGUGGACAAGUAUGACGCUGAGACGCGAAAGCGUGGGGAGCAAACAGG